rnacentral:lncRNA from 1 species
AACAAUUUGAGUUUUUAUUACUUUGGCAGAGAGAAAAGAUAUGAAAAUAAUGAUGAGUAGUGUUUCAUGUAUUCGCAAGUUAAUAUUUGUUUUGUUGCAGUUCAACCUUCUUUUCCCCAACUAUUCUGGAGCUGUUGCUGAUGCUUCUCUUUCUGGUGGUUGCAUAGAGAACGAGAGACAUGCUCUCCUUGAGUUGAAGGCAAGCCU